ACCGUGGCUUUAGAUUGUUACUGUGGUUUGUGUGUUGGUAACAGUCUACAGCCAUGGUUG
rnacentral:pre_miRNA from 1 species